AUUAUAUAAAGUUUAAAAUAACCUAGCCUCCUCGGAUACAAAACCUAGAACCCUUGGUCGCCGCCCCCCUAAGUUUUCCCCGUCAAUUUUCAAGCUUGGAAUUGAGAGAUCUAGGGGUGCUCGUGUGUUCCCCAGCCUCCUUUGCCGCCUCGUGACGUCGUGGUUGCAAGAUAUCCAGGAGAGCAUGAGCCAGAGGCGGAGGGGCAGGAUUCUUGAGCGGACUGUAUGGAAGCAAGGCACUCGACCCAGUGACCCCUAUGUUUUUCGCAUGAUUUUCUUUUGGAGUGUUGAGGGAGGUUAAAAUAAAAAGACAUGUUUUCUUUUACUUUUUUAUGGUUAUUGCAUUAGUUUGAGUUUGACUAGUUCUGCAUUGAGUUCAGAUACUUAUAAACUAAAUAAAUAAAUUAUUUUAUAGAUUAUUUUCAUUUUCUGUUAUUUAUUUGUGAAAAAAAACUAUUUAUUUAUUUAAAACUAGAGGGGUUUACAUUUGGUAUCAGAGCAAGGUCCUGGUUUGGGUUGUGCCUACAGAUAGAUGCAGAAAACUCAAGAAGUCACGCCCCAAAGUCUAUGCCUCCUAGACGCCAAAAUACACCGCCGCCAUUGAAUGCCAGUGAGCAGGUGUUAGCUGGUCUGGCUCAUUUACUUCGUCAAAAUGCCGACACCUCUCAGGCGGCGAGGAUUGAGAUGCCAUAUGAGAAAUUUCGUAAGAUGGGGCCCUCGGAGUUCACUGGCUCCACCGAUCCAUUCAUUGCUAAGGGAUGGGUCAAAUCCUUGGAGACGAUUUUCCGUUACAUGAGAUUGGAGGAUGUAGCCAGAGUUAGUUGCGCUAUCUUCCAGUUGAAGGAGGAUGCUGCCCUUUGGUAGGAAGGGGCAAAAAGGACUGUGAAUAUGGAGACUUUGACCUAGGAGGAGUUCAAAAAGAUUUUCUACGACAAGUACUUUACACCAGAUGUACAAGCAUGGUUGAAGAGGUAGUUUAGGAAUCUCCAACAGGGAGAUAUGUCUGUGGCGGAUUACGUCAAGAAGUUUUAUAGGAGCUGCCACUUUUCACCCCUCAUUGCUGAUAACCCUACGGAGAAACUACAGCAUUUUCUGGAUGGCUUGAGUCCCGUUAUUCGCAGCAUUGUGUUGAUGUCGGAUUCUGCAAAUUAUGCCGCAGCACUGAAGAGGGCCUUCAGGUCAGAGCAGACACUGAGGGACUUACAAAUGGAAGCACAGAGGAAGAGACCGUCUUAUUCACAACCGCAGUCACAGGUGAAGAGACAAUUUACUGGACCUUCGAGGCCGCAAGGGAAAGAGAAAUCGUACAGUUUAGGGAAGCCACAGGGUCAGCAGGCUUUGAAGCCUACGAUGCAGCGAGAGAAACCUACUUGUCAAACUUGUGGACGCCAGCAUGCAGGGAAGUGUUUGAUAGGAGCCAGAGUAUGCUACAAGUGUAAGCAGCCGAGCCACCUGUCCUUUGAUUGCCCAUAGCUGAGGGGGCCCGCGACCGGGAGGGUUUAUGUGAUGAAGACCGAGGAGGCUGACCCAGACACUACCUUGAUUACAGAUAUGGGGCCGAGAGUCAUCUUGUUUAGCCAUAUCAAAUUGAUGCGUAGUGGAAUUUGGACAAGCACCGAGGUGCCCUACACUUGACAGGUAUGGAUUCCAGAAAAGUACUGGGAUGUCAUAUCAGCCUGGUACCAUGGUUUGACAGAGCUUGAUCAAGCGACAUGAGGUUGAGUGGAGAGCAUGAGCCAGAGGCAGAGGGGCAGGAUUCUUGAGUGGACUGUAUGGAAGCAAGACACUCGACCCAGUGACCCCUAUGUUUUUCGCAUGAUUUUCUUUUGGAGUGUUGAGGGAGGUUAAAAUAAAAAGACAUGUUUUCUUUUACUUCUUUAUGGUUAUCACAUUAGUUUGAGUUUGACUGGUUCUGCAUUGAGUUCAGAUACUUAUAAAAUAAAUAAAUAAAUUAUUUUAUAGAUUAUUUUCA